ensembl:lncRNA
AAUGGGAAGAUGCCAGCAGCUCACAUCCCAGCCAGCAGACCCAGAAUUUAAUGUUACAACUCACUUUAUAAGUUUUUUGACCGAUCACACAAAGCAAAAGCACAUUGACAGCAGUUCUAUCCAACCACUAUCAGCACAGGUACCUUUGGUUAAACAAUGCUUGCUUAUUUCAAAUAUAAUACUUACUUGUAAGCCUUAAAACACAACACACAGAGCUCCAUUAUUAAGCUUAGAACUUCCUAAUAUCUCUCUAGAUAAACUUUUCUGUAGCUUAGGGAGUUAUUCUAGCCAAGCGUUAAUACACAGCCCAUUGUUCUAUCUGUCCUUGCUUUUCUACAUUUUACAUAAUUUUUCUGCUGACCAAUCUCAUGGCUGCUGCUUAGCUCUUAUCACAGUUCUGCUGCCUCUGAGGCCUUUUGCAGCUUUCCCAAAACCCUCUGAUUCUGUAGAUUCCCACAGGGGAAAUGGGGGUGUGGCCCCGCUCUGGUGCUCCCGGGGUGUGUCCCCAUUCCCUUCCCGGGGUUGGGAGGAGCGUUUUGGGGUGCAGCGCUGCCCGUUUCCCUCGGCAGGUGAUCGAGGAGGUGAGCAGCGAUGCCCCGAGCGGGCUGGCGGCGCUCAGCGUCCCUGCGUCACCUUCCUCGAGGCUCAGCAGGCUCGGCAAGGAGGAAGAGGAGGAUGAGAAUCGCUGCCGGCAGAGCCCUGCACGCAGCCCGCGGCACGGAGAGGACGCCAAAGGAGGGUUCCUGGCCGUGCGGCUGCGGGGCCGCUGGCAGCGCCUGUGGUGCGCGGUCCGGCACGGAGCCCUGCGCAUGUUCCCGGAGCCCGGCAGCGCCCAGCGCCCCGUGUGCGCCCUGCGCCUGGACGGCUGCGAGGUGACCCCCGGGGCGGCCGCCGGGUCCCCCCAGAACCUCCGGAUCCGAAUCGCCCAGCGCGGCCGGGAGCUCGCCCUGCUGCAGGCCCGUUCGGACGAGGAAAGGGAAGCGUGGCUGAAGACCCUGCAGGCCAGGGGAGCAGUGGAGCCAAAGAAGGGCGGUGGGCCCCCCCCGAGACCCCCCAGGCCGAGCAGCCGCCCCGCUGCCGGGGGGCUGCUGCUGCGCCGGGUGCCCACCCCCAACGCCUACAUGGACGAUCCCUCCGGGCAGGGACCAGCUGAGACCCCCAAACAGCUCCACUCCAACGCGGAGCGGCUGCAGCAGCUGCAGCAGAGCCUGGACCGGGCAGCGCAGGGGCAGCGCCCGAGAGCCGCGUCUGCCGUGCCCAGCUGUGCCAGCAGCAAUGCCCUGGGUGGUGCCCGGCCCGGGCAGGCAGCUCUCCGUGCCAGGCCUGCCAGUGCCCAGCUGCCCCAGGACAGCCCCAGCGUGCAGAGCCGGGACCUGUGCCAGUCCCAGCACACCCGGACCCUGCCCCAGAGGAGGGGGACGCGGGAAGGGCUCGAUGUCCUCGUCGGGCACAGAGCCUUUCCCAGGCUGGAGCAGCAGGAGCAGGGGCAGCUGGAGCGGGGCGUGCAGGGCAGGCUGAGAGCCGGCUCCGAGAUGAACCUGCUGGCGCUCGGGAAGUCCCUCAAGGGUCACAUCGCUGCCACCGCCGGCUCGGCUGGCUCCGAGGGAUCGUUCCUCAGGCCGCUGCUGAAGCGCACCACGUCAGCCAAGAGCGCCCUGAGGCCGCCGCCAUCCCCGGUCGUGGCGGGGAAGGGAAAUGUGAUGAGGAAGACAAAGGUAAAUUCUGGAUCAGGUGUCUGGGUUUGGAAAGGCAGGUGUCUGCUGAGGAAGGCAGGAGCCUCCCCUGAAAUGGAAAAUGUAAAACUCCCUCUGUGACCAUGUUCACAGGAUGAGGGAAGAGA